rnacentral:miRNA from 1 species
UUAAGUAGUUGUGCCGUAGGUCG